rnacentral:rRNA from 1 species
UGAAUACGAGACGCUAAGGCGUCGAAGUAGUGUAUGUCAUACUUCCAAGAAAAGCUUGCACUGUCAUAAGUAAAAAAUGCCUGUACCAUAACCGACACAGGUGGGUAGGUAGAGUAUACUAAGGGGCGCGAGAUAACUCUCUCUAAGGAACUCGGCAAAAUAACUCCGUAACUUCGGGAGAAGGAGUACCUUAUUCUAUAAGGUUGCAAUAACAAGAUCCAAGCAACUGUUUAUCAAAAACACAGGUCUCCGCUAAGUCGUAAGACGAUGUAUGGGGGCUGACGCCUGCCCAGUGCCAGAAGGUUAAAGAAGUCGGUUAGCAUUAGCGAAGCUGGUAACUGAAGCCCUGGUGAACGGCGGCCGUAACGAUAACGGUCCUAAGGUAGCGAAAUUCCUUGUCGGGUAAGUUCCGACCCGCACGAAAGGCGUAAUGAUUUGGAUACUGUCUCGGAGAGGGGCUCGGUGAAAUAGACUUGUCUGUGAAGAUGCGGACUACCUGCACCAGGACAGAAAGACCCUAUGAAGCUUUACUGUAACUUGAAAUUGAAAUUGGACUUUAUUCGCGCAGUAUAGGUGGGAGGUGCUGAUUAUAAUCUUGCGGGAUUAUUGGAGCCAUCAGUGAGAUACCACUCUUGUAAUGUUAGAUUUCUAACUUUGAAUCAUCAUCUGGUCAAAGGACAGUUUCAGGCGGGCAGUUUGACUGGGGCGGUCGCCUCCCAAACGGUAACGGAGGCGUACAAAGGUUUCCUCUGAACGGGUAGAAAUCGUAUCUAGAGUGUAAAGGCAUAAGGAAGCUUGACUGUGAGACCUACAAGUCGAACAGGGACGAAAGUCGGUCUUAGUGAUCUGACGGUACUGAGUGGAAAGGCCGUCACUCAACGGAUAAAAGUUACUCUAAGGAUAACAGGCUGAUCUCCCCCAAGAGUUCACAUCGACGGGGAGGUUUGGCACCUCGAUGUCGGCUCAUCGCAUCCUGGGGCGGUAGUACGUCCCAAGGGUUGGGCUGUUCGCCCAUGAAAGCGGUACGCGAGCUGGGUUCAGAACGUCGUGAGACAGUUCGGUCCAUAUCCGGUGUAGGCGUUAGAAUAUUGAGAGGAGCCUUCUUUAGUACGAGAGGACCGAGAAGGACAUACCUCUGGUGUACCAGUUAUCGUGCCAACGGUAAACGCUGGGUAGCUAUGUAUGGAGUGGAUAACCGCUGAAAGCAUCUAAGUGGGAAGCCCACCUCAAGAUAAGUAUUCUCAUC